rnacentral:rRNA from 1 species
CAGCAGCCACGGGAACACGAAGGGUGCAAGCGUUAAUCGGGAUUACUGGGCGUAAAGCGUGCGUAGGCGGUGAGUUAAGUCUGCUGUGAAAUCCCCGGGCUCAACCUGGGAAUGGCAGUGGAUACUGGCUCGCUAUAGUGUGUCAGAGGAUGGUGGAAUUCCCGGUGUAGCGGUGAAAUGCGUAGAGAUCGGGAGGAACAUCAGUGGCGAAGGCGGCCAUCUGGGACAACACUGACGCUGAGGCACGAAAGCGUGGGGAGCAAACAGGAUUAGAUACCCGCGUAGUCCCUGUCUCUUAUAC